rnacentral:rRNA from 1 species
UACGGGGGGGCGAAGCGUUGUUCGGUAAUUACUGGGCGUAAAGGGCUCGUAGGUGGCCAACUAAGUCAGACGUGAAAUCCCUCGGCUUAACCCGGGGGAACUGCGCUCUGGAUACUGGAUGGCUUGAGAUUGGGAGAGGGAUGCGGGAAGUUCCAGGUGUACGCGGUGAAAUGCGUAGAUAUCUGGGAGGAACACCGGUGGCGAAGGCGGCAAUCCUGGACCAACACUGACGCUGAGGAGCGAAAGCCAGGGGAGCAAACGGG